AUGGCGCUGCCACCACUCUGGCUCCCACCAACCGGCUCCUGGACUCCCCCAGCACCACAGAUGUUUCACACCUUUGUGCUCCCGCAAACCUUCUACCCCCAAGGCUCAGCCAUCCUGCUUCCAGUGUCUGGGCAGGAGCAGUCCUUCCCCGCAGCCUGGGCACCCCCCGUGGGGGCAGCCCCAUGGGCCCCCCAGGCCCCACCACCAGGGCUGCAGAUGGCCCCCUGCGGCUCCUGCUUUGAUCCCCGGUUCUUCCACGUCAAGCGGACCAUCGCCAAGCAGCCUCCACCAGCCACCCCCACGCUCGCCCACGGCCCCGCUGCUCCCCCGGGCCCUGCCCUGUGGGGCCUCGGGGGCUGUGAGACCCUCCCAGCCUGGGCAGCCCCCGGCAUCCUCCAGGGACCACCCACACAGCCCCCGCUGACGCAGCUCCCAUCCUUCAGCUACCAAGGCAGAGCGGUGGCCGCAGCGCCCCCGGCGCUGCUGCUGACCUCCAUCCCUGGCCUCCAGCACAUCCGGGGACCUUCUGGAUGGAGCCAAAUCUCCAGCACGGCCACCCCCACAGGGGCACCCCUGGGCAGCCAUGGCACCCAACAAAGCCACGUGCCCCCCAGACCCUUGGCUGCCCCCCAGAAACCAGCUCCUGGGGACCCGGCAGGCACAGUGGAUGUGACUGAGGAGAUGCUCCUCCAAGAGGCUUUUAGGCUCUUUGCAUCCUCCACGGACACAGUGGGGUCCAGCCAGGACAGCGCCACCACCAUCUCCAGGCCUGGGGACCCUGGUGCCACCAGGGGAGAGGGCAGAGCGGUGGCCCCAGCACACACCACGCUGCCAAACUCCAUCCCCGGCCACAAGAACAGCCUUGAAUGGUCUUCAGAGACCAAGAGCUCCAGCACGGCCACCCCUGAGGAGAGAAGCCCAGACAGCAACAUCCCUGCCUCCAGUGACCUCUCCUCAGACACUGACCUCUCCUUGGACAGCAUCAUCUCCCUGGAUACCAGUGUCCCCACCAGCCCCUCUGCUGUCCACCAAUGCCAAGCCCUCGGGGAUCUCAAAGGGCCUCAAGAGUUCCCUCUGGAGGAGGCCCUGAGGCUCUUCGACUGCUCCGGGGAGGUGGGAGGUGUCAGCCAGGACAGUCCUGGCAGCAGCCCCAGGCCCACGGAGCCUGGGGACACCUGCACAGCCAUUUCCCCCAGCGACUUUGAUGCUGUCGAGCUGCCUGAGGAGCUUUUGAGUCACAACUACACUCUGGAGGAGACCAUGGAGGCUGUGCGCUUCCUGGAGAAACUCCUCAAUGGGCCGGAGUCCCAGGAGCUCUGGGAGGAUGUGGGGACGGAGCUGCCCCCAGCCAUGCCAGCCCAGAUGGAGAGGCAGGGGACGAAGCAGGGGACCAGCUCCCCCUGAACACCAUCCAGCAAUCACUGGGCUCUUGCAAGGGGGCCAGGAAUGGAGCCGGGGGGAGAGUCCCAACACAAGGAAGAAACGGGGAUGAUGGGGAGGUGGGGGUUGUGUGUAUUCGGGGAGGGUCUGUGUGUAUUUGGGGAGGGGGGAAUUC
rnacentral:lncRNA from 1 species